UACGUAGGGUGCGAGCGUUGUCCGGAAUUAUUGGGCGUAAAGAGCUCGUAGGCGGUGUGUCGCGUCGGAUGUGAAAGCCCGGGGCUUAACCCCGGGUCUGCAUUCGGUACGGGCAGACUAGAGUGCGGUAGGGGAGACUGGAAUUCCUGGUGUAGCGGUGGAAUGCGCAGAUAUCAGGAGGAACACCGAUGGCGAAGGCAGGUCUCUGGGCCGCAACUGACGCUGAGGAGCGAAAGCAUGGGGAGCGAACAGG
rnacentral:rRNA from 1 species